CCCGCUCUCACACUCACGCCAACAGUGAAUAACAACUGUUAAUUCUAAACAAAUGUUAACGCUUAACAGUCAUGUAAAUGUGUGGGAAGCAACGAUAAAACGCGAACAGGGUGACCAAGGGCAUUGCAUUUUUAAAAUUUCCCCAUUGAAAUUGGAAAUUGGGUAUACAUAGGUCGACACCACCGGCUGACAUUCAACAAGU
rnacentral:lncRNA from 1 species